rnacentral:rRNA from 1 species
UGGGGAAUAUUGGACAAUGGGGGCAACCCUGAUCCAGCAAUACCGCGUGUGUGAAGAAGGCCUUAGGGUUGUAAAGCACUUUUGUUAGGGAGAACGGGUAUUAUGGUUAAUAAGCAUAGUAUCUGAUGUUACCUAAAGAAUAAGCACCGGCUAACUCCGUGCCAGCAGCCGCGGUAAUACGGAGGGUGCAAGCGUUAAUCGGAAUUACUGGGCGUAAAGGGCGCGUAGGUGGUAUCUUAAGUUGGGUGUGAAAUCCCCGGGCUCAACCUGGGAAUUGCAUCCAAAACUGGGAUACUAGAGUGUGGUAGAGGGUAGCGGAAUUUCUGGUGUAGCGGUGAAAUGCGUAGAUAUCAGAAGGAACAUCAAUGGCGAAGGCAGCUACCUGGGCCAACACUGACGCUGAGGCGCGAAAGCAUGGGGAGCAAACGGG